rnacentral:tRNA from 1 species
GCCUGGGUGGCUCAGUCGGUUGAGUGUCCGACUUCGGCUCCGGUCAUGAUCUCACAGUUCGUGGGUUCGAGCCCCGCAUCAGGCU